rnacentral:rRNA from 1 species
CCUACGGGUGGCAGCAGUGGGGAAUAUUGCACAAUGGGGAAACCCUGAUGCAGCGACGCCGCGUGAGUGAAGAAGUAAUUCGUUAUGUAAAGCUCUAUCAGCAGGGAAGAAAAUGACGGUACCUGAGUAAGAAGCCACGGCUAAAUACGUGCCAGCAGCCGCGGUAAUACGGAGGGGGCAAGCGGUAUCCGGAUUUACUGGGUGUAAAGCGCUCGUAGGCGGUAUGUCAAGUCAAGGGUGAAAUCCCCGCGCUCAACGUGGGAACUGCCUUUGAAACUGGCAAACUGGAGUGUGUGAGAGGAUAGUGGAAUUCCAGGUGUAGGAGUGAAAUCCGUAGAUAUCUGGAGGAACAUCAGUGGCGAAGGCGACUAUCUGGCACAUAACUGACGCUGAGGAGCGAAAGCGUGGGUAGCAAACGGGAUUAGAUACCCUGGUAGUC